AAAGUACGCCGGGCAGCCGCUGCUGAAGCAAUUCAGGAGAGGAAAGUCCGGACUCCCAGGAAGCAGGGUGCUGGUUAACCGCCAGGCGAAGCAAGGCCCCCAGGGGCUCCAAGUCGACGGAAAGUGCCACAGAAAAUAGACCGCCGAUGGCUGCUGUGCAGCACAGGCAAGGGCGAACCGGUGGUGUAAGAGACCACCGCAAUUCUGGCAACAGAAUUGGCACGGUAAACCCCACCCGGAGCAACACCAAAUAGGCACACAGGCCCUAUGGGUCGGCAGCGCUUCUUCUGCGUGUGCGGGUAGGUGGCUUGAACGGUUCAGUAAUGGCCCGUCUAGAGGAAUGGUUGCCGGGGCGCCGGUAGGUGCCUGAACAGAAUCCGGCUUACAGGCGUACUUUCUUU
rnacentral:RNase_P_RNA from 1 species